UACGGGGGGGGCAAGCGUUGUUCGGAAUUACUGGGCGUAAAGGGCUCGUAGGCGGCCAACUAAGUCACACGUGAAAUCCCCAGGCUCAACCUGGGAACUGCGUCCGAUACUGGAUGGCUUGAAUUCGGGAGAGGGAUGCAGAAUUCCAGGUGUAGCGGUGAAAUGCGUAGAUAUCUGGAGGAAUACCGGUGGCGAAGGCGGCAUCCUGGACCGACAUUGACGCUGAGGAGCGAAAGCUAGGGGAGCAAACGGG
rnacentral:rRNA from 1 species